rnacentral:lncRNA from 1 species
AUUGUAGAAAUGAACUGUUGUCAGAGUUUCAAAGGAAUUAAUGUUUUUUGGUAAAAUGUGCUAAUGUAAAGAGUUAGAAGAUUAGUGAUACAUAAGGAAGGCAGUGCGUUAUUUCGCAUGGAAAUAGGAAUAUAAUAAAUGUCCUGCAGGUGAUUGAGGCUGUAGCAAUUUUAUUGAAGAUUAAAGUUUGAUUGACCUUUGUUAGGGUGAUUAACCCUUCUGAAAUUAAAAGCCAGAGCUGAAUUAUUCUGCUCAAUUUAAAUGCAAA